UACGUAGGGUGCAAGCGUUGUCCGGAAUUAUUGGGCGUAAAGAGCUCGUAGGCGGUCUGUCGCGUCUGCUGUGAAAACCUAGGGCUUAACUCUGGGCGUGCAGUGGGUACGGGCAGACUAGAGUGCGGUAGGGGAGACUGGGAAUUCCUGGUGUAGCGGUGAAAUGCGCAGAUAUCAGGAGGAACACCGGUGGCGAAGGCGGGUCUCUGGGCCGUAACUGACGCUGAGGAGCGAAAGCAUGGGGGAG
rnacentral:rRNA from 1 species